rnacentral:ncRNA from 1 species
AUCGACAGGACCUUCGCGAUAUAGGGAAUGAGCGGCAGGUUGAGCACCAGCAGCACGAGGUUGCCGAUGAACAUCGAGGUGAUGACCGCCCAGAAGAUCUCGGGGGAGUCGACCAUGAGCCGCGGGCC